UCCAGACUCCUACGGGAGGCAGCAGUGGGGAAUAUUGCACAAUGGGGGAAACCCUGAUGCAGCGACGCCGCGUGAGUGAAGAAGUAUUUCGGUAUGUAAAGCUCUCUCAGCAGGGAAGAAGAAAGACGGUACCUGACUAAGAAGCCCCGGCUAACUACGUGCCAGCAGCCGCGGUAAUACGUAGGGGGCAAGCGUUAUCCGGAUUUACUGGGUGUAAAGGGAGCGUAGACGGCGAUGCAAGCCAGAUGUGAAAGCCCGGGGCUCAACCCCGGGACUGCAUUUGGAACUGUGUGGCUGGAGUGUCGGAGAGGCAGGCGGAAUUCCUAGUGUAGCGGUGAAAUGCGUAGAUAUUAGGAGGAACACCAGUGGCGAAGGCGGCCUGCUGGACGAUGACUGACGUUGAGGCUCGAAAGCGUGGGGAGCAAACAGGAUUAGAUACCCGCGCAG
rnacentral:rRNA from 1 species